GCGCCUGUAGCUCAGUGGAUCAGAGCGCCGGCCUCCGAAGCCGGGUGUCGGAGGUUCGAAUCCUCCCAGGCGCGCCA
rnacentral:tRNA from 1 species